rnacentral:rRNA from 1 species
GUACGGUGCAAGCGUUAAUCGGAAUUACUGGGCGUAAAGCGUGCGCAGGCGGCUUUGCAAGACAGAUGUGAAAUCCCCGGGCUUAACCUGGGAACUGCAUUUGUGACUGCAUGGCUGGAGUGCGGCAGAGGGGGAUGGAAUUCCGCGUGUAGCAGUGAAAUGCGUAGAUAUGCGGAGGAACACCGAUGGCGAAGGCAAUCCCCUGGGCCUGCACUGACGCUCAUGCACGAAAGCGUGGGGAGCAAACAGGAUUAGAUACCCUGGUAGUCCACGCCCUAAACGAUGUCAACUGGUUGUUGGACGGCUUGCUGUUCAGUAACGAAGCUAACGCGUGAAGUUGACCGCCUGGGGAGUACGGCCGCAAGGUUG